AGAGUUUGAUCAUGGCUCAGAUUGAACGCUGGCGGCAGGCCUAACACAUGCAAGUCGAACGGUAACAGAAAGCAGCUUGCUGCUUUGCUGACGAGUGGCGGACGGGUGAGUAAUGUCUGGGAAACUGCCUGAUGGAGGGGGAUAACUACUGGAAACGGUAGCUAAUACCGCAUAACGUCGCAAGACCAAAGAGGGGGACCUUCGGGCCUCUUGCCAUCGGAUGUGCCCAGAUGGGAUUAGCUUGUUGGUGGGGUAACGGCUCACCAAGGCGACGAUCCCUAGCUGGUCUGAGAGGAUGACCAGCCACACUGGAACUGAGACACGGUCCAGACUCCUACGGGAGGCAGCAGUGGGGAAUAUUGCACAAUGGGCGCAAGCCUGAUGCAGCCAUGCCGCGUGUAUGAAGAAGGCCUUCGGGUUGUAAAGUACUUUCAGCGGGGAGGAAGGGAGUAAAGUUAAUACCUUUGCUCAUUGACGUUACCCGCAGAAGAAGCACCGGCUAACUCCGUGCCAGCAGCCGCGGUAAUACGGAGGGUGCAAGCGUUAAUCGGAAUUACUGGGCGUAAAGCGCACGCAGGCGGUUUGUUAAGUCAGAUGUGAAAUCCCCGGGCUCAACCUGGGAACUGCAUCUGAUACUGGCAAGCUUGAGUCUCGUAGAGGGGGGUAGAAUUCCAGGUGUAGCGGUGAAAUGCGUAGAGAUCUGGAGGAAUACCGGUGGCGAAGGCGGCCCCCUGGACGAAGACUGACGCUCAGGUGCGAAAGCGUGGGGAGCAAACAGGAUUAGAUACCCUGGUAGUCCACGCCGUAAACGAUGUCGACUUGGAGGUUGUGCCCUUGAGGCGUGGCUUCCGGAGCUAACGCGUUAAGUCGACCGCCUGGGGAGUACGGCCGCAAGGUUAAAACUCAAAUGAAUUGACGGGGGCCCGCACAAGCGGUGGAGCAUGUGGUUUAAUUCGAUGCAACGCGAAGAACCUUACCAGGUCUUGACAUCCACGGAAGUUUUCAGAGAUGAGAAUGUGCCUUCGGGAACCGUGAGACAGGUGCUGCAUGGCUGUCGUCAGCUCGUGUUGUGAAAUGUUGGGUUAAGUCCCGCAACGAGCGCAACCCUUAUCCUUUGUUGCCAGCGGUCCGGCCGGGAACUCAAAGGAGACUGCCAGUGAUAAACUGGAGGAAGGUGGGGAUGACGUCAAGUCAUCAUGGCCCUUACGACCAGGGCUACACACGUGCUACAAUGGCGCAUACAAAGAGAAGCGACCUCGCGAGAGCAAGCGGACCUCAUAAAGUGCGUCGUAGUCCGGAUUGGAGUCUGCAACUCGACUCCAUGAAGUCGGAAUCGCUAGUAAUCGUGGAUCAGAAUGCCACGGUGAAUACGUUCCCGGGCCUUGUACACACCGCCCGUCACACCAUGGGAGUGGGUUGCAAAAGAAGUAGGUAGCUUAACCUUCGGGAGGGCGCUUACCACUUUGUGAUUCAUGACUGGGGUGAAGUCGUAACAAGGUAACCGUAGGGGAACCUGCGGUUGGAUCACCU
rnacentral:rRNA from 1 species